AGUAGAAUUGCUGGGUCAUAUGGUCACUCCAUGUUUAACACUUUGAGGAACUGCCAAACUGUUUGCUAAAGUGGCUGCAUCAUUUUACAUUCCCACCAGCAAU
rnacentral:pre_miRNA from 1 species